rnacentral:rRNA from 1 species
GGGUGAGUAACACGUGAGCAACCUGCCCCUGACUCUGGGAUAAGCGCUGGAAACGGCGUCUAAUACUGGAUACGAGACGUGACCGCAUGGUCAACGUUUGGAAAGAUUUUUCGGUUGGGGAUGGGCUCGCGGCCUAUCAGCUUGUUGGUGAGGUAAUGGCUCACCAAGGCGUCGACGGGUAGCCGGCCUGAGAGGGUGACCGGCCACACUGGGACUGAGACACGGCCCAGACUCCUACGGGAGGCAGCAGUGGGGAAUAUUGCACAAUGGGCGGAAGCCUGAUGCAGCAACGCCGCGUGAGGGAUGACGGCCUUCGGGUUGUAAACCUCUUUUAGCAGGGAAGAAGCGAAAGUGACGGUACCUGCAGAAAAAGCGCCGGCUAACUACGUGCCAGCAGCCGCGGUAAUACGUAGGGCGCAAGCGUUAUCCGGAAUUAUUGGGCGUAAAGAGCUCGUAGGCGGUUUGUCGCGUCUGCUGUGAAAUCUGGGGGCUCAACCCCCAGCCUGCAGUGGGUACGGGCAGACUAGAGUGCGGUAGGGGAGAUUGGAAUUCCUGGUGUAGCGGUGGAAUGCGCAGAUAUCAGGAGGAACACCGAUGGCGAAGGCAGAUCUCUGGGCCGUAACUGACGCUGAGGAGCGAAAGGGUGGGGAGCAAACAGGCUUAGAUACCCUGGUAGUCCACCCCGUAAACGUUGGGAACUAGUUGUGGGGUCCAUUCCACGGAUUCCGUGACGCAGCUAACGCAUUAAGUUCCCCGCCUGGGGAGUACGGCCGCAAGGCUAAAACUCAAAGGAAUUGACGGGGACCCGCACAAGCGGCGGAGCAUGCGGAUUAAUUCGAUGCAACGCGAAGAACCUUACCAAGGCUUGACAUAUAC